UUACUCACAUUUCCCAGGAACCAGCCCACUGUGUGGUCACUGACACAGCUUACAUCACCAUGAAAACAGCAGCACGUUUAAUCUGAGAGAGAGGGCAGGACUUCCUCUUGCCUCAUGCCCACUUCUGGUUAGGGACACUAUUUCUGUUUUGCAUUAGUGUAAUGAAAUACUUUAAAUGAGUCAUCCUUAGCUUUGUCAGUUAAGAAAACCUUAAUGUUGUAUGAAUCUGUUUUCUUGGUUGUUUAUAAAGUUCUGUGUCUCAGGUGGGCUGGAGCCUAUCCCAGCUGAUGAGAGGUGAGAUACACCCUGGACAGAUGACUGUAUUUGUUCAUGGAAAUGUAUUAAUUGGAUAUUUGAAGCAAUGUAAUGAUUUUGUGCAGCAGCCUUUAGUGCGACAUUAGCAUUUUGUGUCUUUUUAUGUAUGUUUCUGUAUGAUGAUGCUUCGAUGCUGUGAUUUGAUGCUUCUAAUGGUUUAUGACAAACAGUAUUCGGUGUGUGUGGUGUGUGAAGUUGCAGCCAGAGCUGUGUUCUUGUUGUGUUUUUGGCACGUAAGAUAACCUAAAAACUUCACAUUUAAAAGUUGUAAUAAUAUUGUGAUCUUAUUUUGCCUUUUUAGCUGCUCAGUCACGCUGAUAUUUGUAUAAUAAAAUCUUACUGCAUGUCUGUUUUUGUUCAGUCUAGUUUUUGUAUUACAGGCCUUUUCAUAAAGAAAGUACCUGAUGUUUCUGCAGCAGCAGGAGAGUAUAAAGAUGUCACACAUGCUGUGGUCAGAUCUUGUUAAGUUGCUAUUUCUGUGUAAAAGGAAGGAAGCAGAAGAAGAAGUUAAAAAAAGUCUUUGUUUCCUUCACAGCUCUUUGGUAUCUGCUGUGCUGCUGCUUCACUCUCUCUCUUUACAGAAAGUUGUAGAAGUUUUCAGACGUGUCACUGCUGGAUGUGAGGAUGGGAGCCACUUUGCUCUGUGAGCUGGGCCUAUUCUUGCUCUGCACGCUUCUCUGCACUGGACACGCUCAAGAUGCUGUGCUAACUAUUGAACCCAAUGGUCCAGUUUUUUCAUUGGAGAGUUUGUUACCUUCAAAUGUGACAUGAAUGAAGGAGAAGACACUGACUGGUAUUACCAAAUCAACAGGGAUGGUCAAGAAGUUUUCUCCUACAGGCCAAACAAAGACUCCAAAUUAGAAAUUACAUCUACAGGUUACAGUGGUGAAUAUCAGUGCAUUGGUGACAGGAAGAGCUCACAUG